GAGGGGAUAGCUCAAGUGGUAGAGGGUGUGUUUAGCUUUCACAAGGUCCUGGGUUCAAUCCCCAGUACCUCCU
rnacentral:tRNA from 1 species